rnacentral:rRNA from 1 species
CAAUAGCGUAUAUUAAAGCUGUUGCGGUUAAAAAGCUCGUAGUUGGAUUUCUGUCAAGUACAACUGGUCCGCCCUCCGGGUGAGCACAUAGUUUGGUCUUGGCAUCUUGCUGGAAAUUGUUGCUGCACUUGGCUGUGUGGCGCAGUGUCCAGCACUUUCACUUUGAGGAAAUUGGAGUGUUUCAAGCAGGCAAUGCCUUUGAACACAGUAGCAUGGAAUAAUUAGAUUGGGCUUCUGCUCCAAUUUGUCGGUUUCUGGAGCUGAGGUGAGAAUUAAUGGGGAUUGUUGGGGGCAUCCGAAUUUAGCCGUCAGAGGUGAAAUUCUUAGAUCAGCUGAAGACGGACGACUGCGAAAGCGUUUGCCCAGGAUGUUUNCAUUG